rnacentral:lncRNA from 1 species
AGUGCUGCUGCUGGAAACCAGAGUCUUCUUUUGUUUUCCCUCUCACCUCUGGCUGCCUCUCUCUCCCCUCAAAGGUCAGAGCAGUGCCAAGGACAGAAGAGAGAGUAGAUCCAGCCUUGGCCCUGCUAGGCUGGGCAGCCUGGCAGGUAGAGUCAGCAGGGAUAGAGCUUGCUUUCCUGUUCACGAUCUUCAGCCAAGUUCAGGGAGGUCUGAAUACUGAGGCCUUCAUAGCCACUGCACCCCAGGUAGCUCAGGAGAACCUCCGAGCGCAGGAGUGCAAAGGCUGGCAUUCUUCAGGCUCUGAGGCUGUCCCUUCCGGUGGAGGUGAACUGCUUCUUAUUGAUGUGGACAAGACUGUGGAUGGAGACUGACAGGAUCCUGGCUUGGGGGCCUUCCGGCAGGGCUGGCUGCUGGGCUGGCAGGCUCUGGCGCUCCCCUUCCCCAGAACUGACUUUGUUCCUGGCAGCCAUGGUGGCUGCACUAACCACAUUCUGCCUCCACCUUUGCACUAAGAAAAGCAAAUAAGCAGACCACAGAACUGUUUGCAUUUGCCCCAGAUGCUCCCUGGCUGCGGGAAGAGACACAGCAAACAGCAGUGCUGCGGAGGUAUGUCUAAUUGCAGAUACUUUUUGUUCAUCAUCGUAUUGAACGUCGUUGCGUGUUCCAGCAGCCAUCAACUUCCUCAGGAGGAAAAUUCAAUUGUGCACUGAGCGACAGCGUGAAGAGACCGGGCCAAGCAGGCAGGGUGCUGCAGGUCAACAAGGUGCUGCUGUGCUCCUGAAGCCUUCAGGAGCCUCAGCCUGAGAGCUCAGGAAAGGGUGGGGCUCCAACCCACCUGGCUUUCCGCCUUACUGAGCUCCAAACACAGGCUUGUUCCACAUCACGGAGAGCCCUUAUCCUGCAUGUGCGUCUCGCUCCCUGACAAGCCUAUUUGUGCCUUGUCACCAGAAAUGUACCUUUUUUCUUCUCUCAUCUGUCCCUGACACCCCCAGCUUAUCUAGCCUGAAGAGAGGCUAUCAAAAUGGUAAUAGCCAGAUGGAAAACAAGGAAAAAUAAGCCCUUUCCCAUAAGGAAGCAAUACGGAUUUUGGAACCGGAGAAAUUUCUACUAUUCUCCCAACAUCAUUCCCUCCGCCUUGGGUGUGCUUCCGAGAGGGUUGGAGGUGUCACCUGCCGUACCCUAGGACUGGCUGAGGGAAAACACACCUGAAGAUUUCCUGUAAAUGAAAAAGUGAAUCACUAAAAGGGGGAGCUGUCAUCCCCUGGCAUUUCUCUGUGCACAGGCGACCUAGUGUUGGGAUGGCAGCAGAACCCAGACAACUGAGCCAACACGUGGAGGGAAGCCCUCACUAGCCUGCAUUCGACUUGUGUGAGAGAGAAGUGAACGUUUACGUGCAAAGCCACUGAGCUUUUGUUGUUGUUCCUGCAGCACAGGGCAUUCUAACCUGCCUAAUACUGAAACGAGUACUGUUAGGCUUGAUCUGUGAAGAGGAGAACAUAAAAGGCCUGCAUAUUCUCUUUUAGGUCCUAAAAAUGCAGUGCUCUCUUCUUGGCCUUGCUGUGACCAGGCUGUUUAAAAUCUGUCACCCCGCCAGUCGCCACUGUAUUAUCUUGCUUUAUUUUUCUUCAUAGUAUUUAUUGAUAAUUUAUGUGCUUAUUAUGUCUCCCUGACUGGAAUGUAAGUUUCAUGAAGGCCAGGACUUGUGCCUUAAAACAGGGCCUGGCACAGAGUAGGCACUUAAUGUGUAUUUUUGAAAGUGAAUUGUGGGCUGAAAAUUCUGAUUUUUCAAAAAAGUUAAUAAAGGUGAAGGCCUUCCUUGCCUUUAUUAAAUGCUUAAAAUGGAUCAGUGGUGGGGUAGAGAUGGAAGGAGUCACACACAUACUGUACCUUCAACGGGUUUCAAUCUAACUGGGAGACAAAAUAUAGAAACAUGAAACAAGCAGAGAGCAAAUCUCUAGGUACCUAAGAGUUAAUUAAGUACUAAGGGUGUACUUAAAUUUGUGAGGGAGGAAGGGGAAGAGGACUGUCCAGAGGUAUGGCUAACUACCAAAAACUCUCUGGAGCAGACAGCUUUGGCAGCAGACUGAGAGCAGGGUUCUCCAAUUUGAGCUUGCAGAAGAAUCACCUGGAAGGCUUCUAAAACCUAUACUAUUGGCCCCACCCCCAGAGUUUCUGAUUCACUAGAUCUGGAUUAUACCUGGGGAUCUUUUUUUUUUUAGACAGAGUCUUGCUCUGUUACCCAGGCUGGAGUGCAGUGGCACUAUCAUAGCUCACUGCAACCUCGAACUCCCCGGUUCAAGGGAUCCUCCCACCUCAGCCUCCCCAGUAACUGGGAUUUCAGGCAUGUGCCACCAAGCCCGGCUAAUUUUUUUUUUUUUUUUUUUGAGAUGGAGUUUCAUUCUUGUUGCCCAGGCUGGAGUGCAAUGGUGCAAUCUCAGCUCACUGCAAUCUCUGCCUCCUGGGUUCAAGUGAUUCUCCAGCCUUGCCUCCUGAGUAGCUAGGAUUACAGGCAUGUGCCACCACGCCCAGCUAAUUUUGUAUUUUUAGUAGAGAUGGGGUCUCACCGUGUUGGCCAGGCUGGUCUUGCACUCCUGACCUCAGGUGAUCCACCCACCUCAGCCUCCCAAAGUGCUGGGAUUACAGGUGCCCACUGCCGUGCCCAGCUUAAUUUCAGUAUUUUUAGUAGAGAUAGGGUUUCUCUAUGUUGGCCAGGCUAGUCUCAAACUCCUGACCUCAGGCGAUCCACCCACCUUGGCCUCCCAAAGUGCUGGGAUUACAGGCCUGAGCCACCACACCUGGCCUCACCUGUAUUUUAAAUUGAGUUUUACUGGGUAACAGCCAUGGUCAUUCAUUUACAUAUUGUCAAAGGCUGCUUUCAAGCUACAACAGCAGAAUUUAACAGUCUCAAGACCAUAUGGCCUGCAAAGCCUAAAAUAUUUACUGGCCCUUUACAGAUAAAGUUUGCUGACCCCUAGAGAGGAAGUCAUGGCCCAUGGCUGGCAGAUGGAAGCCUCAGGACCUGAAGAUUUCUCAAAGAAAGGGACCUGCUGCUGACAGCAAUUAAUAUAUGUUCACAGCUUGCAGCUGAAGCCUGAUGAUGGCUGUAGGAGAAAGGACAUCACCCAGAUGACAUUUUGCCUCCAAAGCUCUGGGGACCAAUUGUGGAAGAACUGCAGGGAUAUUAUGUUAGAAUGUUCUUGUGUCUGGAUAGGAUGAGAACUGUCUUAUAACAAAGUGCAGCCCCCAUGUCUGAGGGCAUGUUUCCUGUGUUUAGGCACUUCCGAAGCAGGGAGCACCUUCAAGGGGCACUGGCCUUCCCAGAAACAGUGUUUGACCUGUGAUGAUGUCCUGGGGGAGGGGACCUAGGAAAAGACCUUAGCCUUUCCAUAAGGCACGAUUAUUCUCCUCUAUAGAGCCUCAAAAGUCAAGUCAAGUAGCAAGCACACUGUGCUCCAGUCUGUGGCCACAGACACACACAAGGACUGGAGCAAAACCAAACAUAGUGUAUCAUCACCGCUGAACCCCCAGGAGCCCCCAGAUGCUUUUGAACGUGAAAGGAGAAAGAAGCUGUCAGAGAUCAGGUUGAAUGUGGUGGGUUAGGUGUGCGGCAUUGCCUCUGGGUCCCUGCUUUGGUUUAAUUAAACUAAGUCUGGUGGUGAAUUGGUUCCCAAAUGUUCAUUGGUGGAUGGGCGGCAUCAGAAUUGUCUACAUCUUUUAAAAAACACGUACGCAAAACCUAUGCAUGUCUUCCUCUGAGAGUUUGAUUUUCAGCAGGCUUGGGGUGGAUUCCUACUUUUAAGAACUCCCCACGCCCGUCCUAAGUGAUUGUGAUUCCCAGUAAGUGAAUGCUGACAAAUUGAACCUUCCAGCAUGGACAUUUAUUUAUGAAAUAAAUGGACAUUAAUUUCACAGUCUUUCUAUGGAUUCGAGGUGGUGCUGGAUCCACAGGCUCACCUGGCCCCCUAGCUUUCUCUGCAGAAUCUGCCAGUGUGCCUUCAAUCCCAAAAGAAGUCGCUUUUCAUGUGCUGCUGGAGCUUUUGAUUGGCGGUGACUGAGAUGGGACUUUAAGUUCUCACCAGGAUGCAAAGUGGGGUUCCAACUUUACUGCUUUCUGAACCCUGCUGAUCUGUCCCCAACCAAGGCUUGAUUUUCUUCUGAAGCGCAGUAUUUUUAAACUGUGGUUGAAAUCUAUUCAUGGGCUAUAAAAUCAGUUGUUGAGGAUGUAACCAUUUUGAAUUAAUUUUUAAUUCAAAAAAUUAGACUAGAAAUUUUUAAUUUUAAUUCAAAAAAUAGACUAGAAAAAAAUCAGAGUGCAUCAUGUAUGGUAGGGAUAAGUGUAAUUCUUUCUGUAAAACUUGUUUUGGAGGGUAUGUUGUGCAUUGGGCUUCUGUGUAUUUCUUACUACGUUUCACAGGGAAACUGCUGUCAUCUCUGCAGUACAAUAUAGAUCAACAAUGGCCCUAACUUCCCUAAGACAGCUCUCAUGUCUGCUUGCAGAGAACAGAUGGAAAAAGUCACCAGGGAGGGUAGAUUGCCAUAUACAAGUACUUCAGGGAGGCUACCUGGAAACUAAUAGAAAACCAGUUUAUGGAUGAUUGCAGAGCCUGGGGAGAGAAAUCAAUCUUGGACAGUUUUAUGGAUGGCAGCCAACAGCCUACCAUGCUCAGCCCAUCGCACCUGUCACCUGGGGACAAGCAGGGUCUAUCUGGAACGGACUCUGGCCAGGAUUCAGUUUCUCUUUCCUCGAAAUGGGGAUAAUCACCCUCUUGACUAUUGCUGUUAUGGGAAAGGCCAAAUUAGGGGAAAAAAAUUCUGUCCAAUAAGGGAUGAACCACAAAGCUCAGGCCAGUAAUGGCCUCUAUUGGUGGUUUGGGAGGUAUGCUUGUAUGGGCAUUAAGGGAGAAAGAGAAGGUCUGCACUCUAAUCAAGUCUAGGCAAUGUGGGAGUUGGAAAGAGACACAUGGGAACACAGACCCAGUCACCUGAAGGCAAGAGCCUUUCUUUUUCCUCCUCUUGGCAGGCAGCGUGGGCUCCCGGGCCCCAAGCAGGAUCCCUUAGGGCUGAUCUCUUACCACACACUGGUCUGACUUGGUGACCUGGAAGAGGACAGUCAGAGCCAACAGGAUGAGGGGACCAGCUUGGAGAGCAUCUAUUGUAUGCCACCCUUGAGUGGCUGGAAAUGUCUUCUGCCACUUUGCAAGGGGCUGGGGGCUGGGGAGUGGGAGUGGCAAGGGAACACGGGGUGGUAGAUUGUUCCCAGGGCUGCUGGUUUUGGAGCAGUCUGACUACCCUCUCUUCUUAGUGGGAAAGAAAGGAGGAAGAAGGGGGAAGGGAUGCUUUUGGAGGGGAGCUCUAAGGGUGGGAGAAAAGAAAGCCUGAAAGAACAUCACUAAAGGGUCUGAAGUUAAAGACUCCAAUGAACAAGAAGCCCCUAAUUCAAACAGUGCCACUAACACCAAAACCUGUAAAGUGGUCCAGAGAGACCCUGGUCAUGUCUGUAACUUUCCUUUUUAAAGCUCUCGUGAAGUUAAUGAAUGAAAAAAUUGCUAAUGCAAAGAUGGAAAUUAAUAAAAACAAAAGCGUGCUUCAUAUUGCAGGGUGACCACCUCUAAUCCUACCAGUGAUCCUGUGGCUGUCCCUGUAACUUCCUUUGGCAACACCAUGCUUUGAGAAGCUGUGGGGAAGGCUGGCCAGGGAGAGAGCCUCACCCCCCAAUUCUG